GCCUGGAUAGCUCAGUUGGCAGAGCGCAAACAUGGUAAGUUUGAGGUCCGGGGUCCGAUCCCCCGUCCAGGCU
rnacentral:tRNA from 1 species